CGACUAAACGUUGUUCGUUUACCGGUCGCACGUUCAGCGACUGAUCGCAGCGACCAGACGCUAGCGACCCGCGAUUAAAAAUUUUGAUCGCCGAGAAAUUCAGCGUUUGCGACCAAAACCUGCGAUCAGAAAAAAAAAAAAAACUCAAAAUACAAAAAUACCCUCAAUCUAUCUUCAAAAUUACAAAACAAUAGAUAAAAAAAAAAAAAAAAAACUCAAAAUACAAAAAUACCCUCAAUCUAUCUUCAAAAUUACAAAACAAUACCAUUAAACCUAAAUCCUAAAAUCUCUCUCGCCUCUCUUCUCUCUCUCUCUCUCUCUCUCUCUCUCUCUCUCUCUCUCUCUUCACCAUCUCUCACGAUCUCUCAGGCCUCGGCUCUCUCUCUCUCCCUUCACCAUCUCUCACGCCUCUCUCACACCUCUCUUCACCAUCUCUCACGAUCUCUCAUCUCCAUCUCUCACACCUCUCUUCACCAUCUCUCACGAUCUCUCUCCACCAUCUCUCACGCUUCUCUCCACCAUCUCUCACGCCUUAGCUCUCUUAAAGGUCAGUCCCCUCUCUCUCUCUCUCUCUCUCUCUCUC
rnacentral:lncRNA from 1 species